CGUGUAGGCGGCCUGAUAUGUCAGAUGUGAAAGCCCUGGGCUUAACCCAGGAAGUGCAUUUGAAACUGUCAGGCUCGAGUAGGGGAGAGGGAAGUGGAAUUCCUGGUGUAGAGGUGAAAUUUGUAGAUAUCAGGAGGAACACCGGUGGUGAAGGCGACUUCCUGGCCCUAUACUGACGCUGAGACGCGAGAGCGUGGGUAGCAAACA
rnacentral:rRNA from 1 species